AACUUGUUAGCGCAGUAGGCAGCGCGUCAGUCUCAUAAUCUGAAGGUCGUGUGUUCGAUCCUCACACGAGGCA
rnacentral:tRNA from 1 species